ensembl:ncRNA ZK381.52 ncRNA
CUGCCUGAAGAAUAUUGGAAUUUCAAAGUUUCGACAGUUUUAAAUUUGCAUUGGAACAUUAAAAAAAUUCAGAAGCUUCUUGGAGAAUUCG